rnacentral:rRNA from 1 species
CCACACCUAAAAAACUUUCCACGUGAACCGUAUCAAACUUUAGUUGGGGGUCUUUUUCGGCGACGGCUGCUGGCUUCAUUGCUGGCGGCUGCUGUUGAAUGAGCCCUAUCAUGGCGAGCGUUUAGGCUUCGGUCUGAACUAGUAGCUUUUUUAAACCCAUUCUUUAUUACUGAUUAUACUGUGGGGACGAAAGUCUCUGCUUUUAACUAGAUAGCAACUUUCAGCAGUGGAUGUCUAGGCUCGCACAUCGAUGAAGAACGCUGCGAACUGCGAUACGUAAUGCGAAUUGCAGGAUUCAGUGAGUNAUCGAAAUUUUGAACGCAUAUUGCACUUCCGGGUUAGUCCUGGGAGUAUGCCUGUAUCAGUGUCCGUACAUCAAACUUGGCUUUCUUCCUUCCGUGUAGUCGGUGGAAGAUGUGCCAGAUGUGAAGUGUCUUGCGGCUGGUCUUCGGGUCGGCUGUGAGUCCUUUGAAAUGUACUGAACUGUACUUCUCUUUGCUCGAAAAGCGUGGCGUUGCUGAUUGUGGAGGCUGCCUGCGUAGCCAGUCUGGCGACCAGUUUGUCUGCUGUGGCGUUAAUGGAGGAGUGUUCGAUUCGCGGUAUGGUUGGCUUUGGCUGAACAGACGCUUAUUGAAUGUUUUUCCUGCUAUGGCGGUACGGGUUGGUGAACCGUAGCUAUGUGGGCUUGGCUUUUGAAUUGGCUUUGCUGUUGCGAAGUAGAGUGGCGGCUUCGGCUGUCGAGGGUCGAUCCAUUUGGGAAUUUGUGUGUACUUCGGUAUGCAUCUCAA